rnacentral:rRNA from 1 species
GGAUUAGAUACCCUGGUAGUCCACGCCGUAAACGAUGUCUACUAGCCGUUGGGGAACUUGAUUCUUUAGUGGCGCAGCUAACGCACUAAGUAGACCGCCUGGGGAGUACGGCCGCAAGGUUAAAACUCAAAUGAAUUGACGGGGGCCCGCACAAGCGGUGGAGCAUGUGGUUUAAUUCGAUGCAACGCGAAGAACCUUACCAGGUCUUGACAUCCUAGGGACUUUCCAGAGAUGGAUUGGUGCCUUCGGGAACCUAGAGACAGGUGCUGCAUGGCUGUCGUCAGCUCGUGCCG